UCUUCUUUAUUGGAAGGGGAGAGGGAAGAGCUGUGCUUAGACUUCCAUCCUCCAACCCUGUGACCCUGUGUGUCUCUGGCUCUCUGCGUGACAGGCAUAUCACACUUACACUGCUCUCCCCUCCAGGACUGCCGAGGCAGACGAGAUGGUGUGUGCAGUGGACCUAUGUGGCACAUGGUGUGCACAGCCAGCCUCAGGGGUGGACACAGGCCCAAGGGUUCCUGGCCUGCUGCCUUACCCGUGAGGCUGCCAGGCUCAGCUGGCCAGCCGGGAGCUCCUGAUGGGCUUCCAUCAGAGGCCUUUGAUACUUUCUAAGCCCUGGACCUGAAACCUCCCCUGUCAGCUUUAGCUCCCAAGGCUACCCUUCUGGAACCUUCCCUCCAGCCCCAGCCUGGUCCUGGGGUUCUUAGGAAGGUAGCACUGUCAGGCUGAGGCCUGGGGCAGGAGUGGUGGUUUGCUUUGGAUCUGCAGUGGGGUCUAGGGCUGGCGGGCUAUGAGGUGGUGGGGCAGGGCUGCCCCUUUGGAAAGGGGAACAGUGACUUGGCUGACAUCCAUCUCUUGCUCUGGUUGAUUCAUGUGUCAUGGCCCUGUGACCGAGGCUUGCUUUGGGAGUGGGGAAGCUGAAAGCACUUAAACUGUCCUUGUGUUCUGGUGGCUGCUAGGCUUGGGGACCCAAGCAGGGUCAGUCUGUGGUAUCCGAUGGAUGCAGAGUCCCACAUGCAGAGUCCCUUGGAUGUAUUUGUGCAUUUAUGCUCACAUCAGCCUCCGGGGUUCCUGUUUAUACAUGGAAACUGAAGCUCUGAGAGUCUCAGGCUAUACAUCUGGAACCCAGACAACCUACAUUCAGAGCUGAAGACCUUCCCCACGUGCUGCCAUGCCUCCUGGGCAGGGGCUGAAGAGCGACGGUGAGAAAGACCCAGAGCGGCCAGGCUGGGGUUCCACGCUGAGAGGAGGGCCUUGCAGUGGUGGAGUAGAGGAUGGUGGACUGAGCCCUGGGGAGUCUUACUUUCCUAGCCUGAGAUGGCCUGGCCUUGAGGAGGUGUCCAUCAGAGCUGGCUGUGAUGACCUGACUACGGCACACAGUGAGAGAGAGAGAGGCAGAGACACAGGCAGAGGGAGAAGCAGGCUCCAUGCACCGGGAGCCCGACGUGGGAUUCGAUCCCGGGUCUCCAGGAUCGCGCCCUGGGCCAAAGGCAGGCGCCAAACCGCUGCGCCACCCAGGGAUCCCAACUUUGUGCCUAUUGAUAUCAGGGCCCAGAUCAUUCUUUGUGGAGCGGCCAUCCUGGGCAUUUCAGGAUGUAGAGCAUCUCAGGCCUCAAACCACUAGAUGCUCCUCAUAGUUGUAAUGGCCAAACAUUGCCCCGUGUCCCCUGGGGGCACCAGUCCUGGUUGAAACCCCAGUUAGCUCAUUUAAUAUCCUACCCACCCUGAGGGGCUCUGUUUGACAGAGUAAGCCCUGGCUGUGCGCUGGCCCGUGGCAGAGCUGGGAGCUGGUCACCUGGAUCCACCAGAACCCAGCACAGAGGGAGUAAGGAGAACUUUGUGGGGGCUGCAGGAGCCCAGAUGCCUGUGUCUGGCCUGGCAUGGGGCCAAGUAGCAGGGCUCUCCAGCAGGGACCCUGGAAGGAAAUCCCGCUGGCCAGACCAUUAGCAGGCUUCCCACCCCUUUGAUCCCUAGAUCGGCCCCCCUGCUGUGCCUGCCUUGAUGACUCAGGACUUCAGAGAUCUGGGUUGUUGAAAGGAGAAUUGCAUCAUGCCAAUAAAAUAAAGAAAGAAAAA